UACGUAGGGUCCGAGCGUUGUCCGGAUUUAUUGGGCGUAAAGAGCUCGUAGGCGGUUCCGUAAGUCAGAUGUGAAAACUCAGGGCUCAACCCGGAGACGCCAUCUGAUACUGCGGUGACUGGAGUCUGGUAGGGGAACACGGAAUUCCUGGUGUAGCGGUGAAAUGCGCAGAUAUCAAGAGGAACACCUGAGGUGAAGACGGGUUGCUGGGCCGACACUGACGCUGAGUGCGCGAAAGCCAGGGGAGCAAACGGG
rnacentral:rRNA from 1 species